CACUGUUUGUUGGUAGACUUAUUUGGUAAGAGAUUACAAGCUGUAUAUAAACGCGUAGUACAUAUUUCGCGUAGUUACGAUGUCCGGAAUACUCACUGCAACAACGUGGUAAACAUAAAUAUUUCCGUCGGUUAAAACCCGUAGAAAACGCUCGUGUAUACUCACUGUGUUUGUCGUGUUCGAGAUACGUACUUCGCCAGAUCUUGUGCAAGUUUGCGGCAGCAGGCAGCAGUAAGAUAAAACCGAUGCAAUCAGCACUACUAUUAACAUGACCCACAGAAACCAGAACACGAACAGACGAACGUUCAUCCAAACCGGAUUAAUAGUGUAAUAUCGGAGAUUGUCGUUCAUCGAUUCUGAAAAUAAGUGCGUUAAGUUCGGUUAAGUUCCAAAGUGCGUCAAAUGUAAACAAGUCAAUCCAAUAAGUUUUAUAUCCAUCGAGUUUGUUUCGUUAUAUUUUACGAGAGUGAUCGAGCAUCGAAAUUCGUCGAUAUUUUGAUUCGUAACUUCACUUCGACCGAUCGAAUUUCAAUAAACCGACGCGUAACAGUGCGCGGGCAUGCAAACAAUAGACAGGUGCGCGGUGAUUGGUCGAAUUCAAAUUCGCGACUUUGGGAAUCCGUUAACGACUCGAGCGUCGCGGGAACAUUUCACGGUGAUCGUAUGUGGUGAUGAUGAGUAUAGCAAACCUGCGUCCCAUCGCUUCUCUUUGGUCCCGUUGAUUCGUAUGGCGUGGUAGACGGGCUUGCCGCAGAAUAGGUUAGCCUGCAGUGGCCCGGAAUAAAAGCGAGGGAGAAUUGAAGAUUUCUCGUGGAGGACACCGGGAUGGAGAGCUGCAGGGAGCAAGACCGACCGAUAAACGCCAAAUCCACUUCCGUGCCAUUCGUCCGUGGACUCGCGAGGCGUGCAUUUUCGUGGACGUGACAGGAGCCGAACGGAAGAAGCUGGCCGUCGAUCGAGAGCUACCGGAGAAGCUCGGUUAAUGGAGCUGUAAAGUUAAGACCACACAGGCGCUGCGAUCUCACGAACGCGAAAGCCAUUAUCGUUGUCCACUGCCCUCGAUUCCGUCGCGUUUCCCAGCAUUCCGUUGUUCUACACGGCCUAAAACGCCGAAAUCAUGGCCAAAAGUCGACAAAUGUUUGACUAUUGCAAUCUUAUUUCUCUAAUUACAGCCUUGACAUUUCGAAUUUCCAUGAAAACCGGGGUCUAUCGACUAUGUUCGUAAUGAAUGUUUGCAAAAUGUUAUUACAAACCUCUGAUUAGCACUAUGAUUCCGCGCAUGGCCUCAAACGCCGACAUCAUGGCCGAAGUCGACAAAUGUUUAACCAUUGCAAUCUAAUUUUUCUAAUUACAGCCUUGAAAUUUCGAAUUUCCAUGAAAACCGGGGUCUAUCGACUAUGUUCGUGAUAAAUGUUUGCAAAAUGUUAUUACAAACCUCUGAUUAGCACUAUGAUUCUUAUAUUGAACGAUCAAUUGGGUUUUCUAUGUCUUCCUUUUGUUUCUGGUUCCACUAAGAAACAUUCAUCAUCUAAUUUGUGCAUCUCUGUUUCGUAUUUGACUAAUCAUCGUAGGAAAUGUGAUGGCAUGGUUAGCGCUGACAUUUCCCUACUCGAUAUUCCCUAAUAAAAUCGUUGACACGCGUUUCCUCAAGAAAUAUUUCAAAACCCGACCAACGAACGCGAUUCACUGUCGCGCAAUCACGAAUUUUCGAUAAACAAAGCGCAAUGGCGGAAGAACGUCCGUAUUAAAUUUAAUUAAAAAUACCUGUCGUCGGCCUCUCGUCAACGACGUUUGUUUUUAUUCCUUUUUCCCCCCCAUUUUUUGUCUCAUUUUGUUUCCUGCGCGCGUGUGUGUGUGUGUUUUUUUUAUUUUG